AGUUGGCUCAGUGGUAGAGUGCUUGCCUUGCAUGCAUGAGGCCCUGGGUUCGAGACCUCAGUACUA
rfam:Dipodomys ordii contig_717, whole genome shotgun sequence.